UACAGAGGGGGCAAGCGUUGUUCGGAAUUAUUGGGCGUAAAGAGCGUGUAGGCGGCCAGGUAGGUCUGCUGUGAAAACUCGAGGCUUAACUUCGAGCUGUCGGCGGAAACCAUCUGGCUAGAGUCCGGAAGAGGAGAAUGGAAUUCCCGGUGUAGCGGUGAAAUGCGUAGAUAUCGUAAGGAAGACCAGUGGCGAAGGCGAGUUCCUGGACAGUUGCUGACACUGAGGCACGAAGGCUAGGGGAGCAAACGGG
rnacentral:rRNA from 1 species